UCAUUAGUAGAAACUCAAGGCAUGACCAUUGCACAGCUGAGUGCUUCCAGGACAGACGUUACGGCAUGAGCAUGCAGCUCCACCACUCUGCUCCAAAGUCCAUACUUAUCUCUUGGUUUAGCUUCUAUCUAGGAAGAGUGAUAGCAUCUAUCUAAAGGCUUUGGUGACAGUGUGAGGUUUAGGCAAAAUCAUGCAUUCGGGGAGAUGUCUAACUUCAGAACGCCCUCUCAUCUGAGGACUGUGAAUGCCUUUUCAUUUGGGAAGAAGUCUUAAGCCCUGUUUCUCAGAGCUGUUGAUCUGAUUGUUCUCGAAGCUGUACAUUGCAGCUGAUGGGUGAUGCUGAAAACAAGGCCCGGGACCUUGGACAUGCUAGGCAAGCACUCUGUGCCUGAUCUGAACCACCCGACUUAACAGACAUUUUCCUGAGUUUCUUCUGCAGGUGCAUCCCAAGCGCUAGGCUACGUGGAUAAAGUAUGUAAGUCAGAAGUCGGUACUGGGGAAUGGUCUACUGCUGUGACAGCCCUGACCAUGCUGUUCUUUGGAGAAAUCUGGACGGCUGGGAGUUUGGAUUAGGAGAGAAGGUCUUUGACAGAGGAAGAAAUCAAAUGGAACGUUUGAAUAAGAGCUAAAGAACCAUCGAGAAAAGAGAAAAGGUGCUACAGCAUACCACCGGGGAAAACUCUUUCACAAGCCCUGCCAGAGUUUCAUGGACUCCUAAUGAAGUCUGGAGAAGAUAUCUGCUGGUGGCAAUCACUUCACAAAGUAAGGAAGAAGAAAAGAGGAAAGGACCGGACUGGAACAAUCU
rnacentral:lncRNA from 1 species